UGUUUGUGUUCGGCAAGGAGCCGCGCGGCUUCCCCUCAAUGCUCGCGGUGAAACCUAUCCAGAUCGUCGAAGGAGCCGGCGUCUAUCCGCUUCAGCUUCUGAUCCCGGUCAUCGGUCUUCUCCUGGCAACGGCGCUUCAUCUUUUCACCACGCGCCAUGGCGUCGCCAUGCGCGCGGUCGUGCAAAAUCCAAAUGCUGCACGCCUGAUGGGCAUCGAUGUCGGCCGCGCUAUCGCCGCAAGCUACGCGG
rnacentral:misc_RNA from 1 species